AGUCACAUCUGCGCAUGACGGAGACAUUAAAAUCAACUUUACAUGUGACGGGACAUAUCGUGAACUUAGCUGCAGCGGCGACAAGAAGAUAAUUGUAGUUGGAGCGACAUCAACUGCAACACCACCAACGUCAACGCCUGCAUCAUCUCCAACUACAUCGACAUCGACAGGAAGUGACACCACA